rnacentral:rRNA from 1 species
UGCAAGUCGAGGGGUAUAGUUCUUCGGAACUAGAGACCGGCGCACGGGUGCGUAACGCGUAUGCAAUCUACCUUUUACAGAGGGAUAGCCCAGAGAAAUUUGGAUUAAUACCUCAUAGUAUUAUAGAAUGGCAUCAUUUUAUAAUUAAAGUCACAACGGUAAAAGAUGAGCAUGCGUCCCAUUAGCUAGUUGGUAAGGUAACGGCUUACCAAGGCUACGAUGGGUAGGGGUCCUGAGAGGGAGAUCCCCCACACUGGUACUGAGACACGGACCAGACUCCUACGGGAGGCAGCAGUGAGGAAUAUUGGACAAUGGGCGCAAGCCUGAUCCAGCCAUGCCGCGUGCAGGAUGACGGUCCUAUGGAUUGUAAACUGCUUUUAUACGAGAAGAAACACUCCGACGUGUCGGAGCUUGACGGUAUCGUAAGAAUAAGGAUCGGCUAACUCCGUGCCAGCAGCCGCGGUAAUACGGAGGAUCCAAGCGUUAUCCGGAAUCAUUGGGUUUAAAGGGUCCGUAGGCGGUUUAAUAAGUCAGUGGUGAAAGCCCAUCGCUCAACGGUGGAACGGCCAUUGAUACUGUUAGACUUGAAUUAUUAGGAAGUAACUAGAAUAUGUAGUGUAGCGGUGAAAUGCUUAGAGAUUACAUGGAAUACCAAUUGCGAAGGCGGGUUACUACUAAUGGAUUGACGCUGAUGGACGAAAGCGUGGGUAGCGAACAGGAUUAGAUACCCUGGUAGUCCACGCCGUAAACGAUGGAUACUAGCUGUUGGGAGCAAUCUCAGUGGCUAAGCGAAAGUGAUAAGUAUCCCACCUGGGGAGUACGUUCGCAAGAAUGAAACUCAAAGGAAUUGACGGGGGCCCGCACAAGCGGUGGAGCAUGUGGUUUAAUUCGAUGAUACGCGAGGAACCUUACCAAGGCUUAAAUGUAGAU